UACGAAGGGGGCUAGCGUUGCUCGGAAUCACUGGGCGUAAAGGGUGCGUAGGCGGGUCUUUAAGUCAGGGGUGAAAUCCUGGAGCUCAACUCCAGGAACUGCCUUUGAUACUGAAGAUCUUGAGUUCGGGAGAGGUGAGUGGAACUGCGAGUGUAGAGGUGAAAUUCGUAGAUAUUCGCAAGAACACCAGUGGCGAAGGCGGCUCACUGGCCCGAUACUGACGCUGAGGCACGAAAGCGUGGGGAGCAAACAGG
rnacentral:rRNA from 1 species